UACGUAGGGUGCGAGCGUUGUCCGGAAUUAUUGGGCGUAAAGAGCUUGUAGGCGGUUUGUCGCGUCUGCUGUGAAAAUCCGGGCUCAACCCGGACUUGCAGUGGGUACGGGCAGACUAGAGUGUGGUAGGGGAGACUGGAAUUCCUGGUGUAGCGGUGAAAUGCGCAGAUAUCAGGAGGAACACCGAUGGCGAAGGCAGGUCUCUGGGCCACUACUGACGCUGAGAAGCGAAAGCAUGGGGAGCGAACAGG
rnacentral:rRNA from 1 species